rnacentral:rRNA from 1 species
UGGGGAAUUUUGGACAAUGGGCGAAAGCCUGAUCCAGCAAUGCCGCGUGUGUGAAGAAGGCCUUCGGGUUGUAAAGCACUUUUGUCCGGAAAGAAAUCCUUGGCUCUAAUACAGUCGGGGGAUGACGGUACCGGAAGAAUAAGCACCGGCUAACUACGUGCCAGCAGCCGCGGUAAUACGUAGGGUGCAAGCGUUAAUCGGAAUUACUGGGCGUAAAGCGUGCGCAGGCGGUUUGCUAAGACCGAUGUGAAAUCCCCGGGCUCAACCUGGGAACUGCAUUGGUGACUAGCAGGCUAGAGUAUGGCAGAGGGGGGUAGAAUUCCACGUGUGGCAGUGAAAUGCGUAGAGAUGUGGAGGAAUACC